GACGUAGGAUGCAAGCGUUAUCCGGAAUUAUUGGGCGUAAAGAGUCUGUAGGCGAAUUGUUAAGUAGGAUGUUAAAGACCAGUGCCUAACACUGGGAAGGUAUCCUAAACUGGCAGAAUAGAGUAUGACAGAGGCAAGUAGAAUUCUGUGUGUAGGGGUAAUAUCCGUAGAUAUACAGAGGAAUACCAAAAGCGAAGGCAGCUUGCUGGGUCAUUACUGACGCUCAAGGACGAAAGCGUGGGGAGCAAACAGGAUUAGAUACCCCUGUAGU
rnacentral:rRNA from 1 species